rnacentral:lncRNA from 1 species
AGACCUAUGGGGUGGGGGGAUCUGAUCCCCAUAUCCCACCCUUUUUAUACGCCCCUGGCAGUGACGUAUCGCAACAAAUUCACGUCUAACGGUGACGAAACAGCGACUGUAUUAUAAUAAUACGUUUGUUGGCCAAUGCGAUCGAUCCGAUUGCGGUGUCGUCAUUUAAUUCCGUGCGUAGUACACAUGUUAUGUACACCGGAGCGCGUUUUGUGCAACCGGUCACGGACGGUGUUUGACAGCGUAGUGCGUAACGCCAAGCGUGAGGCCUACUUUCGACGGAGCACCGACGACGACGAUUGCACGUGGUUUUUUUUUGUCGUCGAACAGCUCCUCCUCUCUCGUGCACCGCUGCAGGUCGACCUACCUAUUACCAAACGGAAACAUAGUCUUGAACACGACGCAAACAGCCGACGAACAAAAUUUACUUGCGCCGUCACGAUUUGUGAGUCGGACACGAAAUAAAACCGAAACACGCGCACGCACACUCGGUCCGCUCGUUCGGUCAAUCGCUCGUACACGCACGCACGCACGGUGGCCAUCGGAAAAACAAUCGUUCUUCCGAGUUACAGACGCGAGCUAUCACGAUACGGCGGCAUUCCGAACAGCUACACCAAUUGGCACCUACACAUUGUUCAGUGAAACCGUACAGUGUUACGCACACUGACAGAACAUAGUUGAAUUCAAUGCAUAUAUUUUUUAAAGAGCUAAACGGUAUCGAUUAUAGCGAAAAUAUUACCAACCGCUUUAUCCGGAUAUUUAAAAGUCAGUGUUUAAAUUAUUUAUUUUAUUACAACUUACGGAAGUAACGUACGGAGUAAGGGGUAAGUGAAUCAGAUUAAUUCCUCUUCCGCCAAAAGGAAUAGAGUGGUGUUUAAAUUCAUAAUUAGAUGUCAAAAUAUUGGUAAGAACAGAGCUAGGAGGCGAAAUGGGCGUUUAGUAGUGUGCAUAAGUCUGUAUAAAAUGUACGGGUCAAAGCUAAUGCCAUUGAAUUUCAGAAUCGUCCGACCAGAUUUUUAAAACUGAAAAUCUUCGAUGCGCACUCGAAAUAAAGCUGUGAUAUUGAUACGGGGUGGGGAUAUUAUCGUGUAGGUGCUCAUAACACGGGUAUAAGCAUUACGCUGGUCGCAAGAUCGUUGUUGUUGCUGUUGAUAACCGUACUCAGAGCCUUCCUAAGGAUUCUUUGGGCCUGGAACAAAUUAAUUCGGGGACCUCUCGAUCAUUACAGUCAUGUAAGAGUAUGAUAAAAAAAUACUCACCAAUUUUACAAAAUGCUGGUAAAUAUAGUUUUCCAAACGUCAACCAAUCGAAGUAAUUUAAAUGUAUCGAUAGAAUGGAUUACAUUUUUAAUAACUUCUCAACAGCGCAACAAUAAUCAACAAUAACUUCUAAUGGGUAACGCUGAGUAUUUCUAAUCAAUCUGUACUUUAUAGGGGACCGCUUUACAUUUUUCUAGGCUAGGGUCUGGGGCAAAAGGAUCCCGUCCCUCCAAUAGAAAAGACUCUGUCCAUACUUAUUAUUUACGCGGACAACGUUAAAAUGUUUACGAGGUCGGUCGAAGAAAAGCUGCACUGCAGCGCGUUCCGUACACUCUUGCCGGGAUCCGUUCGCAGGAAAACAAAAUACAAAACACGUUAUACGAUUACUGCACGCGUUACGUACAUUUCGCGUGAAACAGAAAAUUAUCAUGCCCCUGACACGUCUAGUGGCGCGUUAAACGUCCCGUUAACUUAGUCACCGUGCGCGUUUAAUUAUUCGUUGCCGUCCGUAAUAUCAUUGCCUUAUUAUUAUUGUUGCAGUCGUUAUUAUUAUUAUUAUUACUAUCAUUACUAUGAUCAUCAUCAUCAUUAUUACGCUAUUCCGUCGCGACCGUUUUUGCGGAGCCCUUUAUCAUGGGCAUAUUUUAGGUGAUCGCCCCCCCCCCCCCUGAAUCCGUAUUUAUGGAAUUGAUUAUAUGUGAGAUUUCAAAUUUCAAAUUUUUUUAAUGUGGAUCAUUUUAUAACGAAAUCAAAUUACGCGUGGUUGUGAAAACUGAAAUGGGCUUUUUGUCGGUUUCACAUGCUUAGUAAAAAAUCUGAUAAAACACAAGCGUAACUUUCGAAACACAAACAGGUGUUAAAAAAGAACUACACAGAAGUCGAUUCUAA